CGCAUCACAAGUAAUUGAAAUACCUUCGGAUUCCAGUCUGGCUGAUACCGUUGAAACUCUUUCCAAACACAAGAUCCUCAGUGCACCUGUUCGGAAUGUUGAUGCACCAGAAGAUUCCAGUUGGAUUGACAGAUACAUUGGCAUUGUAGAAUUUCCCGGAAUUGCUGUGUGGCUUCUGCAUCAGACCGAUGUUGCAUCUGGUUUAGGCAGUGCUG
rnacentral:misc_RNA from 1 species